UUCGUCAGUAAGUUCACAGUGAGUCGUCUAGCUCAAGCACGACUCAUGCUAAAAAAUAUCAGCUGACUGGAAUUCAAUCUUAUCAAGUCAUACAGGAAAUUGAGAAAAAUUUGCGUAGACAUUUUAAAUUUAGUUGUGUGUGUAUGUGUGUGUUAUUUCAAUCCGGACAUUAAAAUGCAAACUGAUAGUCUUUAAUUAUAUCUGAGCUCGCUAAACGUAGAGCUGAAGUGUGACAUUUAAUUUUACAUUGCACAUCCUCGGCCUCUCUUAUCUUCUUGAGUGUUUAGGGAUAAAUAUAUCAAAGCAGUUAUUCUUUCGUAAACAGUCUUCGCGUGGUUUCGUCAUUGAACAACGAUAUAAUCGACAAAAAGAUACAAGAGAGGUCGAGAAAAAAUUGAAAGAAGAUGCGGGAAGCCUUGUUGAUUGGAUUUCAUGUGAUUGCCUGUGUGCAAUUUGCUUUUUCUGUUUACUAUGACUUCACCUUUACUGUGGUACCAAAUGGUAUUCUCAAGAUUCAUGGUGCUUUUGGUGGAAAGUUUAAAUUUCUCACAUUUUGGGAUGCGAUAAUACAAGCUAUAUUCUUCUUUUUGUGUGUUCUUAAUGAUUUCUAUGGUACUAACAAACUCGUUACAAAAAAUGUGCCAGUCAUGCGACGUAUCAAGGAUUAUUUCCAUGCAACAUACAGCUUCCCACUUGCUAUGUUUGUAGGAAUUACAUUCUGGUCAUUGAUGUUUAUUGAUCGAGAAUUGGUACUGCCAAAAGCCUUAGAUCCAUAUUUUCCAUGGUGGUUAAACCAUCUAAUGCACACUAUGAUCAUGGUGUCAACAAUUAUUGAAAUGAUUAUUGCACCAAGGCAAUAUCCUAAGAGAUUAAAUGGAUUGAUUGGGCUUUAUGCUCUUAUGUUAACUUAUUUAAUAUGGAUGCACUUUAUUUAUUAUAUGAGUGGUAUUUGGGUGUAUCCAGUAAUGGAAGUGCUCUCCUUGCCAUUAAGGAUUCUGUUUUUCCUGACGCUAUUUGCAUUCAGUGGUUUUCUGUACUACGCUGGCGAAGCCUUUGAUCAUCUCGUUUGGGGUAACGAAAAAUCUAAGCAAAAAAUUCAUUCAAAAUCGAAGUAGCCUCGUGCUCUGUCGCCGAGAGGUGACGGGAAAACAUACUCUGCUGUCAUUGGUGGUGGCAAACGAAAACUUAGGGCAGCCGAAAGUACUGAUCAAGAAAAAUUAUAAAAAUCAUCACGACUGGCAAGAAGAUGAAGUUUCCAGUGCAAUCGAGAUUACUAUAGUUACCAAUCACCGCCAAUGAUUCUGCUCAAUUUUUUCUACUACGACGAUACAUUUUUCAGUUUUAUGCACACAGUAAAAAAUUUCGUGUUCACAAUGUUAAUUUUUUGUGCUGAUUUAGUAUUUGUUAAUAUGCACAGUUUCAUGUUCGUUUAAUAAUUUAACAUAUUAGUUUAACAUUUCUUGAUCAUUCACUCAUUUUAUUAACAAAAUUUAAAUGAAAUUUUUUUCCUAUUGAGUAUCGAAAAUUAUUAUAAUUAUUGUUUUAAUUAGAUGUAUUAUAAAAACGCAGAUAUUCAUUUCAAUAUCCGUACUAUUUAACACAAAUUUUUUUACUGUGUAUGUAAAUAAUCGAUAAGAUUUGUUUAGCUUAAUCUGUUAAUAGAUAAAAAGUUUAGUAUUUGAAAGUCGUUAAAUUUCAUCAACAAAAUUGAAUUCUUAAUAGAAAUAAUAAUCUCAUGAAACCGUGUGUGUAAUGUGCCAAUUAGUUUUAAUUAAAUUGUAUACUCUACAAGAAAAUUACAAUUAUCAUAAGAUUAUAUAUUUUAAGUAAUCAUAGCUUCGAUUACAAUCAUUAUUUGUUACAUGAUUAUUAUUCGGCUUUUUCUUUCUGUAAAUAUCUUUAAAGAACCUCUUUAUUGCACUUAGUUGCUGUGUAGGUUCCAGAAUCAUUUUUGUAUUGCACUUAGUAUGUAUGUGUAUUUUUAGUUUACUGUUUAGUUUUGAUAAAUAAUAGAAAAAAAUAAAAAUAAUUUCGAUUUCGAUCAUUAAAUCAUGUGUCGAAUCGAAGCCAAAUUUAUUAUAGAAAAUAUCGUCUUACUUUUUUUUCAGGUACAGUUAAAAGAACAUCAAGUACAACAUCUAAAAAGAAGAAAUCCAAAUAAGAGUCUUAGCUGAUUAAACUCGACAGUGCAAUUACAUAAAGUAAUAAAUAUUAGCAAUAUUGUUUUUAUAAUCGAUUUAUAUAAAAUCUAUUAACUCAUUUGUACGGAUUGUAAAGUUGAUCAUUUUUAUUUAUAAAAAUAGUCGAUAAAAUAUAUAUGUUAAUGGUUUUAUUUUUGUAUAAUUUUCGUUACAAUGUUGACAUCGUUCAGGUGAAUAACAAUUUAUCAAACUGAAAAAAAUAGAAUUAGAAAAUUGAAACAUAAUAUAAAAUGUAUGUACAAUAAUAAUGAUGAUAUUGAUAUUAAUUCAUUAUAUAAAAAAUUAGAUGAAACAUAUAUAAUUGAAUCAAUGCCUUAGUUAAAAAUGUAAAAAUGUGUUCGAAAUGAAAGAAUGUGACAUUACUUAAUAAAAAUAUUUUAGUGCCUAAGAGUAAUUACUUUAAAUGUCUGCCUAUGUAUUAAAUAUAAUAUUUCUUACAUUUAAAAUACAUUUCAUUUUAUACACAGCUUAAAAAUAGAUAUUGUACAUCACGAGAGUUUUUUAGAAAAAUUUUUUCGUAUAAAAGAAAGCGUAGACGACAAGUUA